GUCUCUCCCACCUCAGAAGCUGGAGUUCAGCCAUUCAAUUAGAUAUGAUGGGCUCAGGCGAGAAUUUGGAAAUGUGCAUUUGAAGGGGAGGUUACUUUUUAGCACAAUUGCAGACACUUUGAACAAGUUAAGAUCUCAAUUUGUAGGCUCUAAUCUGAACCUUCGUGGGCCAUUAAAAGAAUUUUCUGAUAUUGAAGACAUGUUGAAGCAGGAAAGUUCUGAGUUCGAGGCUAGCGUUGACAAUGCUGUUUGUAAGAAUGGAAAUACAAACAAGGCUGAUUACAAGCUUCUUAGCAUAAAUCGAUUGUUAUGGGAACUUCUUCUGGAAUCGUGCAUUUGGGAACAGCGGCUGCAUUCACUGCUCUUACCUGAUCGUUCUUUGGUUCACACUGGUGCUAUUGAGAAAGCAGUGGACAACCAAGUGAAGUCAAAGAUGAGUGGCACCAUUGAUGGAAGAAAUGAAGGGACUGAAAUUGUUUUGGAUGACAGAAGUGGUGAGUUGAAAGAUAUGUUGGGU
rnacentral:misc_RNA from 1 species